GUCAUUAUAGUGUAAAUAACACAUAGUCCUUUCAAGACUAAACUAAACAUAAGUUUUAAAGAUA
rnacentral:tRNA from 1 species